rnacentral:rRNA from 1 species
CGGGGUGGAGUAACGCGUGGGUAACCUGCCUCAUACAGGGGAGUAACAGUUGGAAACGACUGCUAAUACCGCAUAAGCGCACGGGAUUGCAUGAUCCAGUGUGAAAAACUCCGGUGGUAUGAGAUGGACCCGCGUCUGAUUAGCCAGUUGGCGGGUAGCGGCCCACCAAAGCGACGAUCAGUAGCCGACCUGAGAGGGUGACCGGCCACAUUGGGACUGAGACACGGCCCAA